CACAGGUUCUGCAUUCAGGAUCCUUUCCCACAUGCUUCACUUUUCUUUCUCCACCUCUCUCUCUACCGCUCUCUAUCCAUUUGCUCAUGUCCAGCUCAACUCUUCCCUUUUCCCACUUGUCCUUGUCUUCAUUUAUUCUAGUCAGCUUCCAUUCCAUUCUCUAAGACAUCCUUCCACCUCUGGGUCCUCGCCAAAAGUUUGCAAACUUGAGUGACGGAUCGAGACGGGCCAAAAACACGAGCAUUUGGCAGACACCCUUAUCCAGAGCAAUUUACAUUUCAUACAGCCAUGCAACUAGCAUCUCAGGGCCUUUCUCAAGAAUCCAGCUUGGCAGACCCAGGGUUUGAACUCACAACCUUCUGACCAACCCGGAUCUGAGAUGCUGAAUUCUACCGAAUCAACCAUCAUGCUCUUUAAUAUCCUUACCGAUUAUUCUUUAUUCUAUAGCGCCUCCAUCCUUUGCACAAACACCAACUUCUCAAGUGCAUUGGUGGAAAAAACUGCCUGGUCAGAAGACUGAGAUGGAAUGCCCCAUGAUAUUAAAAGACAUCAUGCGGGAAAUAUGGCAGGCAUUCUGGUAAGGGCUGCAGGCAAAUAGUAAGAAUUAGAAUUAAUUUUUGAAGUAAAAAUGUCUUCUCUUAAAUUGUCAGAGGAUAUUAACUCCAUUAAAGAAUGACAUUCUUAGAGGACCAGCAUAAGAUAGCAGCCUGACGGUAAUGCAAGACUGAGGGUCAAGUGGUAGUUGGUUGCAAAACUAUCUACUGUGAAAAUCUAUCAUCGAUCCACACCACCGUCCAGCAUUCAACUGAAGAACUGAUUGUUGGAGAUAUCUUUUACUCCCAAAGAAUGAUUCCUGAAGACUUGAAGUGCUAAAUAAAAUAAAACAGGCAAAUUAAAGACAACCCUUUAGUGAAAGGCUCUUAAUUGAGAUGCAAAGUAUCCUAAUGGACUUUUCUACCUGUUACCGUUCAAAUCUUAGAAAGAUCAACAAAUGCACAGAAAACGACAUUGCUAACGAUUAUUUUAGGCAGUGUAUUUACAUUUUCAAAUCAGUCUUCACUGUCCUGAAGACUUUAACAUGGAGGAAAACCUACUGAAUUACCUUUGACUUUUACAAAGCGCCAACACCGGAGACUCCUUCAAUAAAUAUCAAAUAAAUCUCUGCAUCAAAUCAACAAUUAUACAUCUUUUAUUUUUUAAAUUUUAUUAUUAGUCUUAGACGGUAUAGUCCAUCCUUGUGAAUGAGUUACUAUAGAAACAAUAACACAUUAGCACAUUCAAUUGUGAUUUAUCGUAUACUGGGGCUGACUGUCAGAGCUGCUCUUAUUGAAAAUAAUACAACCUGCUGACCAAUCAGAUUCGAGAAUUCAGUAGUGACUUUAAACUUUAAAAGUGACUUUAGAUUCCUUUAUUACUUAGCAGACCAACCUAGCACCCUUAUUGUUAUUUUAAAAGUAAAUACCAAUGUCCAUGGCUGGUCUGAGGAGCUAUAUGUACAACACAAAUUCAUAAUGCUACUACAACUUCACCAGGCCAGAGUUUAAAUCUCAAGUGGGGUAAAUGUAGUCUCUGGGAAACAAGUCAUUGAUGGAAGGAUGAACAGAGGAAGGAUAAAAGAGGAAAGAGUAUAAUAUUACAGUGGCUGUUUUUUUUUUUUUUUUACCACAGAUGCUAGAUUAAUAUUAAACUUCUUGACAUUCUUGACUCUAUUUGGACAAAAGGUGUAGAUGUAUUUUAAAAACGAAUAUUAUUGUGCUAAUAAUGGUUUUGUUUCUAUAGCAACAGCUACACAGGUACCACAGGUAUGACAGGCAUUCCAAGCAAGAAAUACUUAAUGCUAAUCACUAAUUUUGGUUAUCUACAUUAUAAUCAAGCCAACCCUCCCAUGUCUGCACAACUGACCCGUAGCUCCAUGUUCAGUCCAUGGUAGCAAGCAUUCAUAUAUUCAUCUUCAGUAAUACCUUCAUCCUGGCCAGGGUUCAGUGAAUCCACAGCCUAUACUGGGAAACACCGGGCUUGAGGUAGGAAUACACCCCAGAUGGGAUGCCAGUCCACUGGAGGGCACCAUAUACAGCGAUAUUCACACCUAGCCAAUCCACCUUCUGGUAUCUUUGUGGGGAAAUCAGGAGAUCCUGGUGGAAACCCACACAGAGACGAUGCAAAGCCAGUUCGAUAUCGAACCCUGUCCCUGGAGCUGUGAGGCAGCAAGGCUACCAAGGUAACAACCAGCUACUCACAGCUGUGCGUUGUCAGGUGUAUUGUGUAACUAACUCAGACAUGACAUGACCUUCUCUGGUUGCUUUUCAGAAGUUUGGAAGGAGAAAUUCCAGUACUGCAAAUGUAUACACUUUGAAGCACUAGUAUUUAGGAAGACCGAAGUGGAAAUCAUUUGGGUGGGUUUUAUUUCAGGCUGUUUGCAAAUCCACACUUUAAUCAUUAUGAACUCCUUACUAGAGAUGCAUCAAUACCGUUUUGUCACACCAAGUAUGAGAACAAAAACCUGUUCUCUUGUCAUUGUCAGCACCAACAAUGAUACUGAUAUGAGAUACCUACUUAAUCAAUCCUCAUGAAACACUUUAUUUAUCUCUAUUUAUGUUUGAAACGGUGUUUAUUUUACUCAAAGUACCUAGUUACCCUUGGAAUUUGUUUUACUUUGGAAACAAAGGUUCGUCUUUAUUGAAGGAAAGCGCUUGAUCAUCCAGAACGACACACUGGGUACGCAUUUAUUUCAGCUCGCUUUGCUUGUUUUCAUUUUCGCUGUGCAUGGCUAAGUGUUAUGUUUAAGACAGAUUAAGAGUAUCGUAGCUCCUCCUCAUGAUAUUUUCACAGAGCAUAGUGUACAGUGCGCUUUGUUUUAAUUGCCAUUAAUAAUAACAAGCUACGUCCAGAUCGGUGUCUUUAACGAGCUAUGUCCAGAUCACUGUCUUUUUUUGUGUGUGUGUGUGUGUGUGUGUGUGUCGCCUGCGUGUUUGUUAGCGCGACAACAUACAUGAUGCUUACGUCACGUCACAUAUCGGUAUCGGAGCCGGUAUCUGAGCCGUUCAUCCCUAUCGAUCAAUCCCUGUGGCGUUAGCACAUAAGCAAAAAAAUUAAAAAAUAAGACAAAAAAAGAGGACACAAGGACGUCUGUAUGAAACGCAGACACGAUCCUGAAGUUGAAACACUCUGAGGACAGCGUCCAGCUGUUAAAUUAUUCACACCUUUCUGCUCAUCUGACCUUAAUAUUUGGCUGAACUAUCCUCCUAUACUGCCCAGUUUUGCAUUACUUUAAUCUAAAUGACCUUUUCACUGGUUUGGAAAUAUGUUUAGUACAGUCUCAUUCGUCCAUAUUUUUCUUCAAUAGUGCCCCCCCCCAUCUUCCCCGGCUUACUCAUCCUUCAGCUAGCCAGAAAUGGCACUAGUAAGAUAUAAUGGAUUUGCUCAUUAAACAUAUAUAAAUAGAGAUAUGUAUUUGAAACCAAAAAUGAGGGGCAAAUUAAGCACCAGGAUACGAAUUUGAUCAAUUCUGAAUGACUUCCAGCCUGGGGAUUUUUGGUUUUCCUAAUAUGCGACAUGACAGGAAGCUAACCAGGCUAAUUUGGUGCAGUGGUGGUUCACCUGAAGGAGCACGAGACUCUGAUUCUGGCGCGAAAAGAUCGAGCAACCCGUCGUGUGUGUGUGUGUGUGUGUGUGAGGGUGAGGGGGGAGAGAUACUUGUUGAAUGUUGAAUGUUGAGCGCUAAAAGAUGUCACAGAAGUCUGAGAUAAUUCAUUUUGUAUCAGUGAACAGUUACGGGAAAACAAGGCAAAAUAAACCACACACACACACACACACACGGCACAGACGACACCACCACGAACAGUCACGGUGAAAAUACUCACUGGAUUCGGAU